AAAUUGAAGAGUUUGAUCAUGGCUCAGAUUGAACGCUGGCGGCAGGCCUAACACAUGCAAGUCGAACGGUAGCACAGAGAGCUUGCUCUCGGGUGACGAGUGGCGGACGGGUGAGUAAUGUCUGGGAAACUGCCCGAUGGAGGGGGAUAACUACUGGAAACGGUAGCUAAUACCGCAUAACGUCGCAAGACCAAAGUGGGGGACCUUCGGGCCUCACACCAUCGGAUGUGCCCAGAUGGGAUUAGCUAGUAGGUGGGGUAACGGCUCACCUAGGCGACGAUCCCUAGCUGGUCUGAGAGGAUGACCA
rnacentral:rRNA from 1 species